GACGAACGCUGGCGGCGUGCCUAAUACAUGCAAGUCGAACGAAGUGGCUCACGGGUGAGUAAUAUAUAUUUAAUCUGCCCUACACAGGGGAACAACAACUGGAAACAACUGCUAAUACUUCAUAGUGUAGGAUGAGACUAUAUCGUAUCAGCUAGUUGGUGAGGUAAUGGCUUACCAAGGCUAUGACGAGUAACUGGUCUGCGGGGAUGAUCAGUCGCAUUGGAACUGAGGCACGGUCCAAAAUCCUACGGGAGGCAGCAGUAAGGAAUAUUGCGCAUGGGGCGAGUACCUGAAGCGGCAACGCCGCGUGGAGGAGGACACGUUUCGGAGAGGAAACUCAUUUUAUCAGGAAAGCGGUACCUGAUGAAUAAGCACCGGCUAACUCCGUGCCAGCAGCCGCGGUAAUAC
rnacentral:rRNA from 1 species